rnacentral:ncRNA from 2 species
GUAGCCAGAAAAGUUUUGUGAGCCGCUUCAAAGCAAAGGGAGAAUCGGGAAGGCGGUGCAAAUCCGCCGCGUGCCCAACGCUGUAAGGACGAUGCCUCGCACCUAUGCCACUGGCUGCCAAGCCGGGAAGGUGUGCGACGGCAGACGACUCCAAGCCAGAAGACCGGCCUGAGCAUUUCUUGGCGC